AGAACGAACGCUGGCGGCAGGCUUAACACAUGCAAGUCGAGCGCCCCGCAAGGGGAGCGGCAGACGGGUGAGUAACGCGUGGGAACAUACCCUCCGGUACGGAAUAACUCAGGGAAACUUGAGCUAAUACCGUAUACGGCUGGAAGGCGAAAGAUUUAUCGCCGGAGGAUUGGCCCGCGUCCGAUUAGCUAGUUGGUGAGGUAAUGGCCCACCAAGGCGACGAUCGGUAGCUGGUCUGAGAGGAUGAUCAGCCGCAUUGGGACUGAGACACGGCCCAAACUCCUACGGGAGGCAGCAGUGGGGAAUAUUGGACAAUGGGCGAAAGCCUGAUCCAGCCAUGCCGCGUGAGUGAUGAAGGCCUUAGGGUUGUAAAGCUCUUUCACCCACGACGAUAAUGACGGUAGUGGGAGAAGAAGCCCCGGCUAACUUCGUGCCAGCAGCCGC
rnacentral:rRNA from 1 species